AAGAAAAGACAAAAAG
rnacentral:sRNA from 1 species